rnacentral:rRNA from 1 species
UACGUAGGGGGCAAGCGUUUGUCCGGAUUUAUUGGGCGUAAAGAGCGUGUAGGCGGCCGUACAGGUCAGCUGUGAAAACUCGAGGCUCAACCUCGAGACGUCGGUUGAAACCGUACGGCUAGAGUCCGGAAGAGGAGAGUGGAAUUCCCAGUGUAGAGGUGAAAUUCGUAGAUAUUGGGAAGAACACCGGUGGCGAAGGCGGCGACCUGGUCCGAUACUGACGCUGAGGAGCGAAAGCGUGGGGAGCGAACAGG